AUUGAACGCUGGCGGCAUGCCUUACACAUGCAAGUCGAACGGCAGCACGGGAGCAAUCCUGGUGGCGAGUGGCGAACGGGUGAGUAAUAUAUCGGAACGUGCCCAGUCGUGGGGGAUAACGUAGCGAAAGCUACGCUAAUACCGCAUACUAUCUAUGGAUGAAAGCGGGGGAUCGCAAGACCUCGCGCGAUUGGAGCGGCCGAUAUCAGAUUAGGUAGUUGGUGAGGUAAAGGCUCACCAAGCCGACGAUCUGUAGCUGGUCUGAGAGGACGACCAGCCACACUGGGACUGAGACACGGCCCAGACUCCUACGGGAGGCAGCAGUGGGGGAAUUUUUGGGACAAUGGGCGCAAGCCUGAUCCAGCAAUGCCGCGUGCA
rnacentral:rRNA from 1 species